UACGUAGGGGGCAAGCGUUGUCCGGAUUUAUUGGGCGUAAAGAGCGUGUAGGCGGCUUGGUAGGUCCGCUGUGAAAACUCGAGGCUCAACCUCGAGAUGUCGGCGGAAACCACUUGGCUAGAGUCCGGAAGAGGAGAGUGGAAUUCCCGGUGUAGCGGUGAAAUGCGCAGAUAUCGGGAAGAACACCUGUGGCGAGGGCAGCUCUCUGGGACGGUACUGACGCUGAGACGCGAAAGCGUGGGGAGCGAACAGG
rnacentral:rRNA from 1 species